GACGAACGCUGGCGGCGUGCUUAACACAUGCAAGUCGAACGGAAAGGCCCCCUUGUGGGGUACUCGAGUGGCGAACGGGGGAGUAACACGUGAGUAACCUACCCUUGACUUUGGGAUAACUUCAGGAAACUGGGGCUAAUACCGGAUAGGAGCUCCUGCUGCAUGGUGGGGGUUGGAAAGUUUCGGCGGUUGGGGAUGGACUAGCGGCUUAUCAGCUUGUUGGUGGGGUAGUGGCUCACCAAGGCUUUGACGGGUAGCCGGCCUGAGAGGGUGACCGGCCACAUUGGGACUGAGAUACGGACCAGACUCCUACGGGAGGCAGCAGUGGGGAAUAUUGCACAAUGGGCGGAAGCCUGAUGCAGAAACGCCGCGUGCGGGAUGACGGCCUUCGGGUUGUAAACCGCUUUCGCCUGUGACGAAGCGUGAGUGACGGUAAUGGGUAAAGAAGCACCGGCUAACUACGUG
rnacentral:rRNA from 1 species